GGUGAGGUUCCCGAGCGGCCAAAGGGAAGAGACUGUAAAUCUCUCGGCGUUGCCUUCGAAGGUUCGAAUCCUUCCCUCACCA
rnacentral:tRNA from 1 species